rnacentral:rRNA from 1 species
AAACUGGGUCUAAUACCGGAUAGGACUGCGCGGUGCAUGCCGUGUGGUGGAAAGAUUUAUCGGUGCAGGAUGGGCCCGCGGCCUAUCAGCUUGUUGGUGGGGUAAUGGCCUACCAAGGCGACGACGGGUAGCCGGCCUGAGAGGGCGACCGGCCACACUGGGACUGAGACACGGCCCAGACUCCUACGGGAGGCAGCAGUGGGGAAUAUUGCACAAUGGGCGCAAGCCUGAUGCAGCGACGCCGCGUGAGGGAUGACGGCCUUCGGGUUGUAAACCUCUUUCAGCAGGGACGAAGCGUGAGUGACGGUACCUGCAGAAGAAGCACCGGCCAACUACGUGCCAGCAGCCGCGGUAAUACGUAGGGUGCAAGCGUUGUCCGGAAUUACUGGGCGUAAAGAGCUCGUAGGCGGUUUGUCGCGUCGUCUGUGAAAACCAGCAGCUCAACUGUUGGCUUGCAGGCGAUACGGGCAGACUUGAGUAUUUCAGGGGAGACUGGAAUUCCUGGUGUAGCGGUGAAAUGCGCAGAUAUCAGGAGGAACACCGGUGGCGAAGGCGGGUCUCUGGGAAAUAACUGACGCUGAGGAGCGAAAGCGUGGGUAGCGAACAGGAUUAGAUACCCUGGUAGUCCACGCCGUAAACGGUGGGCGCUAGGUGUGGGUUUCCUUCCAC